GAUGAAGAACGCAGCGAAAUGCGAUAAGUAAUGUGAAUUGCAGAAUUCAGUGAAUCAUCGAAUCUUUGAACACACAUUGCGCCCGCCAGUAUUCUGGCGGGCAUGCCUGUUCGAGCGUCAUUUCAACCAUCAAGCCCCCGGCUUGUGUUGGGGACCUGCGGCUGCCGCAGGCCCUGAAAACCAGUGGCGGGCUCGCUAGUCACUCCGAGCGUAGUAAUACAUCUCGCUCAGGGCGUGCUGCGGGUUCCGGCCGUUAAAAAAGCCUUAUUUACCCAAGGUUGACCUCGGAUCAGGUAGGAAGACCCGCUGAACUUAAGCAUAUCAAUAAGCGGAGGA
rnacentral:misc_RNA from 1 species